UCUCCCAGACGAUCCCAACGUAGAAUGGAGCAUCUCAAUGGCCUCCUCUCUAAUCCUGAAGCACAUCAGAGCACACUCCAUCAACCUGGCUUCCCAAGAUCCACCGAUAAUGAAAUGAAAGAGGGCCAUGUCUUUCUUUCUUUCUUUAUAUUAACCCCACAUUACAUGUAAAUUAGCCUAAUCCCAGAUUGGUUUGUGCUGUCUGUCUUGUCAACUUCUAUAGUCAUUGUCAUGCAAAAUGAUGGCAAUGAGCAUAGGAGUUGGCAAGACGGCGCAAAUUGAUCUGGGACUUGGCUACAUGUAAACAUCGCUCAGGAACAACAUGGCUGCAGUCUGCAGCAACAGAAUGUGGUUGUGGUGCUGGUUGGAGCUCGGGUCAUUGUUGGCAUGUGUCGUUACAGGACAUUUACCAAAAGGAAUUUGGGAAUUGAGAUCUCAACAAAAAAUAUAUCUAUGUCCUCAACCAUUAGUAUUCUGACAAAAGCUGAAUGCAGUCUUUCUCAGAUAAAUAAAUAUGCAUGAGCGGGCACAGCAGGAUGCUAGCAAUUUCACUUAAGAACCAAACAUCUCAGUGUAGGCUAUCCCACCGAUCUGUGUUUUUUAUCAAAGACAAAAAUCUAUUGGAUGGUCAUGUCUUCCCCAUCCUGUUAAGGAUAAUGCACAAAGAUGAACUAGAUCAUAAAAGAAACUACAGAAAUAUAAUAUUUCACUUUUCCCAUAAUAUAACCUAUUCCUCCUAUUAGUUUACUGCUGUUAAGAGUUUUUAGCAUGUUAAGUCCAAGCCUAGAAUAAGCAAAGAAAGAGUUAAAGCAGAUAUCCACCUCUCUCCCCUUUUGGAAGUCAUCGUUAUUAUCUGUUUGCUUUGGCAACAACGAAUAUUUCUAGAAACUGGUGUUUAUAUGUGUAAUUAUAUAUAUAUUUUCUCUUCCAAGUAGGGCUGGGAAUUGCCAGGAACCUCACGAUACGAAAUUAUCACGACACUUAGGUGCCGAUACGAUAUGUAUUGCGAUUCUAUACUGUGAUUUUAUUGCGAUUCGAUGUUCCAAACAUAUUGCUCACCAUAUGUCUUCUACAGAGGAACAAGAGAGAGCCAUGAGAAAACGAGUUUUAAUCAGUCAUGGAAAUAAAAGUGCUGAAAACGAUGGAGAACAAGCUCUGAAUAAGCACAAAUUAUAUUGCGAUAUAGUCAAAAAUGAUACAGUACGAUAUAUCAUAAAAAACAAUAUCUCAAUAUGUAACUGUAUCGAUAGGAAACACAUAUUGUCCACAGAUCCAGGACCUAUGCCAGGAACCAGCCCUGUAGGCUACAUUCCUAGACUCCAUAAUUAUAAAGCAUACACACACCACAUGCUAAACAUCUCGGCACACAUUAACCUCCCUUCCCCCCACCCCACUAUAAACACACACGCACACACACAUACAAAAACACAUUGUUGCAUAGUUGAGAGGUCGACCAAACCCACACUCCAAUGCUGGAUCUGCAGAUGGCCCUGCUCUCAGAAACCCACAUAAAAUCAAUUCCUAAUGAGAGUAGGGAGGAGAACUAGCGAAUGAGAGAGGAGAACUGGAGAGGACACCAGUCCAACAGUAGCAUCAGACUAUUGUGAAAUGAAAUGAAGAAUGUUUGGUCGUGUCAUAGUCUCCCGUGAUGAUAAACUAAUAGAUGUUAAAAAUGUAGUAGCUGGCCAGCGUGCACAGGAGAUUUGGUUUUGGGUUCCCUCAGCAAUUAUUGUGAUGUGUACGUAGCUACAUUACAGUGUAGUAAGGUUUACACAGUGAGUGAAGAAAACACUGAAAUUAGUAUGAUAUGUUACAUUUGGUAUGGUUAUAUAAGACAGAUGAUUGCUUAAGGCAAGGUAAGGGUGAAUGGGUGGGUGUAUAACGUGAAUGUCUAGCAACCCAAAGGUAACGUUAGCCACCUAGCUAGAAUUCGUAACAUAUCAUACGUUUAGCAAAUUUGUAACAUAUUGUACUUUUUGCAAAUUCGUAACAUAUAAUACGAAAUGGGUGAUGGACAUUCAGAAAUUAAUACAUGCCAUGUGUCUCGGAUUUACGUACAUAAUAAUAUGAAAUGCUCCAAGACCAGGUUGUUCUGAGCUGAGCCUCCAUGGCUCUCCUCCAACACCCAGACCUCGUCUCUUGUCUGAGAAGAUGAGUGUGUUGUGUUGUCCAGGUCACAUCCCAUGAUUCCCAUUAGACAUAGACCCACAAGUGAUGCACACUGUUUUCUCCACCAUGCCAAAUUCUCAGGAUUUGCUGUAUGGAGUUUUAUUUUUGUCUCUUGGUUAAAAAAAACAUUGUGGAAGUGAAUGUAUAAGGCCAUCUGUAUUUCGUCAACUUGGAUUAAGUCUCCAAUGAGAGCCUGUACUGAACAGGGAAGAGGAGAAGUGAAGCGUUCUCUAGCUUUCAGUCACUGAUGAGAGUGGUAGAGGAGAGGGAGAGUUACUGUAGCGACUGGGAAAUAUGACAUGGAACAUCCAGAGACCAUAAUCCAUCCAUAAAUUACCAGGAACCACAUGACAAUUCAUUAGAAAACAUCAACAGGUUGACAACAACAACAAACUACCUGCCCUCCAGGACACUACACCACCCGAUGUCACAGGAAGGCCAUAAAGAUCAUCAAGGACAACAACCACCCGAGCCACUGCCUGUUCACCCCGCUAUCAUCCAGAAGGCGAGGUCAGUACAGGUGCAUCAAAGCAGGGACCGAGAGACUGAUAAACAGCUUUUAUCUCAAGGCCAUCAGACUGUUAAACAGCCACCACUAACAUUUAGUGGCCGCUGCCAACAUACUGACUCAACUCCAGCCACUUUAAUAAUGGGAAUUGAUGGAAAUGAUGUAAAAAUGUAUCACUAGCCACUUUAAACAUUGCCACUUAAUAUAAUGUUUACAUACCCUACAUUACUCAUCUCAUAUGUAUAUGUAUACACUGUACUCUAUAUCAUCUACUGCAUCUUGCCAUCUUUAUGUAAUACAUGUAUCACUAGCCACUUUAAACUAUGCCACUUUAUGUUUAUAUACCCUACAUUACUCAUCUCAUAUGUAUAGACUGUACUCUAUACCAUCUACUGCAUCUUGCCUAUGCCGUUCUGUACCAUCACUCAUUCAUAUAUCUUUAUGUACAUAUUCUUUAUCCCUUUACACUUGUGUGUAUAAGGUAGUAGUUGUGGAAUUGUUAGGUUAGAUUACUUGUUGGUUAUUACUGCAUUGUCGGAACUAGAAGCACAAGCAUUUCGCUACACUCGCAUUAACAUCUGCUAACCAUGUGUAUGUGACAAAUAAAAUUUGAUUUGAUUUGAACAAUC